ensembl:lncRNA
CCCUACACACGCACGCCUGGCUCAGCCACCCGCACGCUGACUAACGGUGCCGUGGGAGGAAGAGUUUGGAUGUGGUGUCUCGGGGAAAUAAUAGGCGAUAACUGGGAAGCGCUUGGCUUUUGCAGCAGUAGUACUCCACGGGCACGGAGGGAAAGCUGUGCUGUGAAGCCAGUCCGUGUAAAGGCAGUGGCAGCCCUCAUGACAGCAAAUCUUGGGCAAAUUUGGGCAGAUCCUGAUUGCCCUGUCCAUUGCGUGGCACCUGUGCUACUCUUGUCAUACUAGGCCUUGGUUUGGUCUCCUCAUCAUCUCCAGUGAUCGGCAUUAGAUGCCAAAAUCACGAACUGCUAUAGGAAGAAGUGAAGGGAGGUACGACCUCCACACUUCUUCGCAAUGAGUGAAUGAGAGCAAAUUGGCAAUAGUUUUUAGUACCUGGAUAUUGGAAGCAGAAUUUCAUUCCUGGCAGAGUUGCUCCUGUCAAGAAACCUAAGGAAUGUCCUCUAAAACAUGUAUUUUGCAAGCAGUGAGUUACACAUUAACAGUCACCCCCCAAAAAAACCAAAACCACCCUACGUUAGCAUAAAAUAAAUACAUACUUUUUAACUGAAAGCAUCAACUUGCUGUUUGUGCACCACACAAAGGAAAAUUUGCCAGUGAAAAUAUUAGCAGGAUCAAGCAUGUUGUAGAUGUUGUUCUUGUCUACCCUUCAAAAUGCUGACCAGCUAUUUGCACAUAUAGAUGCCUUAGAAUCCCAGAACUGUAGGACCACAGAAUGGCCUGCAUUGGAAGGGACCUCAAAGCCCACAUGGUCCCAGUCCGUGCCAUGGGCAGGGCUGCCCCCCACCAGCUCAGCUGCCCAGGGCCCCAUCCAACCUGGCCUUGAGCGCCUCCAGCGAUGGGGCACCACAGCUUCUCUGGGCAGCUGUGCCAGCGCCUCACUGCCCUCUUAGUGAAAAAUUUCCACCUGUCAUCUAAUCUAAAUCUAAUCUAAAUCUCUCCUCUUUCAGUUUAGCUCUGCCACAAGACUCCUGUAGCUGUUACUUCCACUCAAUUGGAGGUGACUGUCCAAUUGUAUGUAGCAACGAGGUAUGUCCACCAGAUGGCUCUACUUCAAGGAGUAAUACAAUUCUGUUUCUUGCUACCUCUAAAGGAAUUUGAAUAAUAAACUUAGGAGGGUUCCAGUGAUUUCUUUCAAAUAUCUUCAUGAAGAUUUCUUUAAGAAGUCUGCUGAACCAUUAUUGGAGUCGGAGGAUUGUAAUAUUUUUUUGUGGUAUGAAUAUGGCUUUUGCUCUGAGAAAGCCUGAGUAAAUCUCACCAGAUUGUAACACUUUAAAAACUGUAACUUGCACGACCUUGAACACAAAGCAAAAAGCCACUGCAGAUUUCUGCUAUGACAAGGAACAGUCCUCCUUGUUCCAGACCCGAUCCAGGCAGAGGGAGAGGAUGUGGCUUCAUGAACACUUCUAUUAAAAGACUGAUCCUGUACUGUGUGUGAAUAAUGCAUGUAUCUAUCACAUACCACUUUUCUUUUAAGUCAGGAAACCGUCCUUUAUCUGUGCAACCUCAAUUCAUUCCCGUAUAAAUAUUCAUCAUGACGCAGUCUUCAACUUUGCACAAACAGCUUCUCCAGACUAAGCUGUUUGUUUUGGGGACUCUGAUCUUGAUGCGAGCAGCCAGCAGAGCCAUGAAAGAAGCCUCAGUUACAUGAAAUUCUGGAAGCUUCGGAACAAUUGGAAACAAUCUUCUAUUUUAUAAGACGUUUUCAGAUUAAUGUUUUAAUGCAAAAACUAAAACAAGGUAACAGAAUAUAAAACUGAGGUGAGCUGAUGAAUCAGUGGACAUCAUCAUGCAAACUUAACUUUUAUUUUGAUACUAAACAAAUUAGUCUUUCCAUUUCAACUCAGAUUCAACCUAAAUGAUGUAUUAAAUAGUAACAUCAGAGAAAAGUCAUGUUUGGAAGGGACUUCUGGGGAUCAUAGUUAAAUAUCACUUGGGAGGCUAAGAAAAAAAGGGGAAAACAGUGUAAGCUAGACAAUAAAAUUUGAAUCUUAAAAGAAUUCUUUUACACAAUGCAUUUUUUUCAUUGUAAACUCUCAGAAUUGAUGAAAUUGGAGUAUUCAGUUAAAAAAAAAAUAGACUAAAUCAGGAUUGACUGUUCCUCACAGUAAGAACUACUUAAUGGGGCAGACAUAGCUAACACUGGGGAAACCAAG